CUGCACGCCGGUACUCUCGUUCAAGGGAUGCAUAGAGAGUAUAUUCGGAGUUAUCCACGCCAACGAGGCCUGCCGAAAAGCUGUGGAACAGCUGGACGUGCACAGACAAAGCGUGAACGGCACCAAAAUACCGAUGAAACACCGCAAGUUCGCCCGAGUAUUGAAAAUAUGCUACAGGAAGAAACUGGCGAAGGAUGAUCUUCACCGCGUAUGCCACAGCGAGCGAACUGUGAAAAAAGUCCUUCAAUGUUACAAGAAAGCCUCAACUAAGGCUACGCCAAAAAAAUCCCGGAAAGCCACGAAAGAAAUCUUCAGAGAAUACCGGAAAUGCUUCCUGGAGAAGUUCACGCCCGAACCCGACCCGAGCGACGAAGAAAUCACGUUUCCCAGGGCCCCCAUUUUGCGCGACUGAAGCGCAAUUGGUCCGGUUUUAUCAUUUAUUUUUUAACCGCAUCGCACGUGAAAUAAACCAUAACUGCCCAACAAGCGCGAGGCGGCU
rnacentral:misc_RNA from 1 species